rfam:Schistosoma rodhaini strain Burundi genome assembly, scaffold: SROB_scaffold0010737
AGCCAGCUGACGAGUCCCAAACAGGACGAGAUUCGCAUCCUGGGU